UACGUAGGGCGCGAGCGUUGUCCGGAAUUAUUGGGCGUAAAGAGCUCGUAGGCGGCCUGUCGCGUCGGUUGUGAAAGCCCGGGGCUUAACCCCGGGUCUGCAGUCGAUACGGGCAGGCUAGAGUGUUGUAGGGGAGAUUGGAAUUCCUGGUGUAGCGGUGGAAUGCGCAGAUAUCAGGAGGAACACCGGUGGCGAAGGCAGAUCUCUGGGCCGUAACUGACGCUGAGGAGCGAAAGCAUGGGGAGCGAACAGG
rnacentral:rRNA from 1 species